rnacentral:lncRNA from 1 species
CUUAAUGAUCUGGGAGUUGUAUGGAGAUACAAUUGAUAAUAGUAUCUACCCAAAUAUUAUAUUAGGGCUUGUUGAGUACACUCAAGGUCUUAAUAUAAUAGAUGGGAUCCCAGCCCACUUGGAGUCAAGCAUGGACUCUAUAAAUUUAUGUGAGAGGGUCAUAAAUUUUAUUUAAACAGUGAGAGCAUAAUUAAUUUAAUAAAAGACCAUAUUAAAUUAAUUGAUGCAUUUUAUAUAUAUUAUUCUUUCUUUUUCGUCAUUUAUGUUUAUUGAAUCUGAGUAACCACAUGUUUUGAAUGGCAUACUAGAUGCCAACAACCAAACUAUAUUUUCUUAAUUGACAUUGUAAUUUGAGAAUUGUUCUUAUGCAUGAGAAAAUUGGUCACGUCCUUGAGUAGCCAUUUCCAGAUACACCUGUUGAUGACUCGAUUAAAGAAGAGGUGGCUACUAUAGUAAACACAGUGAUGAUAAUAGUACUGCAACAUAUGUGAUACUUGCAACUAUGUCACUGAGUUACAAAAGCAACCUGAGAGUAUAGAUGUUAACACAUAAUUCUUCAUUACAAAGAGUUGUAUGAUAAUAAUCAUGUGUGGAAGGAUAUGAAACUUCCAAACAACUAUACCGGUGCAAAAUGAUAGAGUAAUCUUCAAUCGAUGCUUAGACACUGAAGAUGAUUAACGUUGAGAAAUGUCUCAACUCUAUUCAAUCAUAAACCAUGAACUAAGUGGUGACUUGGUCUUGUAAUCUCUGUCAGCUAAAGCUAUUCACAACUAAUUAUGAAUUUAACGUGAAUGAGCUCGAAUGCAGAAAUAUUGAGUUGCUUAACAUGCUUAGGACUGUUAACCCCUUUAUCGAAGUUGGUAGUGGGCAAACCAUUGAUUCCUUUAAAGAUAUUAAGAGGAAGUCUAAAGGGGCUUUGUGAAAGCACCCAAUAUG